rnacentral:lncRNA from 1 species
GUGGCAGCAGAGGGGCAGUCUGACACAAUGGCACCUGACAUGGAACUGCAUAUGAAGCAAAGAUGUGAAAUUUAAUUCCUCCCUGCAGAAAAGGCGACAGACGGUGACAUUCACUGAUGCUUGCUGAACAUCUGUGGAGACCUAACAGUGGAUGUGAGCACCAUGAGGUGAUGAGUGGUGUGUUUCAGCAGUGGUGACAGCAACAGUGAAUUACCUCAGCUGAUGCAUGGAUUUACCAUGGGCCUAAUCAACAUGAUAGCCUCCUGUGUGGUGUAACAUUAAUCUGUGCCCUUGGGAAAAAGCUGGAGCUCUCUUCUCAGCAUGUGGCAGUGGACCAACCUGUGACAUGGGGUGACAGUGAUACCUGUGCCUUGCUGGCAGCCCCAUUUCUAUUGGUGUCAUCACCCAGCCAUUCUCAGGCAGUCAUCGGCUAUGUCUGAUGCUUCCCUAUCCCUGGCAUGCUCUGAAGACAGUUAAAAUACAAUCCAGGUGAGUACUGUGCUAAUGGUGAUUAAAAACCAAAUGCUUCAUCGAGUUGAGUUUCAUUCCUUUAAGAACUCAAGAUGGUCACUUUGAAGAGAAACUUAGAUUGGAGUAUUUUGACUUUAUAAACAAAAGAGCUUUUCUCUCAGGUAGUUGUUAAAACCAAACUGCUUCUAAUGUUGCUAGUAAGUAAAGGAGAAAUGGCUUGUUUUAGCAGCUGAUUUCUG